AACGCGAAGAACCUUACCAAGGCUUGACAUAUAGGGAAAAGUGGCAGAGAUGUCAUGUCCGCAAGGGCUCUAUACAGGUGGUGCAUGGUUGUCGUCAGCUCGUGUCGUGAGAUGUUGGGUUAAGUCCCGCAACGAGCGCAACCCUCGUUCUGUGUUGCCAGCAUUUAGUUGGGGACUCACAGGAGACUGCCGGGGUUAACUCGGAGGAAGGUGGGGAUGACGUCAAAUCAUCAUGCCCCUUAUGUCUUGGGCUGCACGCAUGCUACAAUGGCCGGUACAGAGGGCUGCAAUACCGUAAGGUGGAGCGAAUCCCAAAAAGCCGGUCUCAGUUCGGAUUGAGGUCUGCAACUCGACCUCAUGAAGUUGGAGUUGCUAGUAAUCGUAGAUCAGCAACGCUACGGUGAAUACGUUCCCGGGUCUUGUACACACCG
rnacentral:rRNA from 1 species